AGAGAGCAGAUUUAGACUGGACAUUAGGAAGAACUUCUUCACAGUUCGAGUGGCCAAGGUCUGGAACAGGCUCCCAAGGGAGGUAGUGCUCUCCCCUACCCUGGGGGUCUUCAAGAGGAGGUUAGAUGAGUAUCUAGCUGGGGUCAUCUAGACCCAGCACUCUUUCCUGCUUAUGCAGGGGGUCGGACUCGAUGAUCUAUUGAAGUCCCUUCCGACCCUAACAUCUAUGAAUCUAUGAUAUGUCUUCCUGAAAGUUCAUUCACUGAGAUCCCUAACGCACCUUCAGUAAUAGGUUCAGUUGUCAUUCCUUCAAACAGACUUUCUCUCCUAAUUGUUCCUUUCUGGAAAGGCCAUGUUUUUCUCCCUGAUCCUCCAAAUCAUCUCAGUCCCUUCAACAGUCUUCCUAAACCAGGGUAGUCAAUCUGUGGCACAGGUGCCGCAAGCAGAAUGGGCAGCCUUUGUGUGUAGUGCAAUAGAUUAGGGAGGGGACAGGCAGCACAGCAGCAGAUAGGGUAGGAAGUUGAAAGCAAAGUAGCAAAUUGAGCAGGGAGCACAGGGAUGGAAGGUGAAAGCAAAGCAGACGAUCAGACAGGAGAAGGAUCAGAAUGGCGCUUGAGGAGAAUGUAAGACUAAUUUUGCAGGACAAAAAGGUUGGUCCCCACUGUUCUAAACAAUACUUGCCUUCUAGUCAACAUCACUACAGAAGAUACUUUUGGUUACCUUUGGAAGUCAGUCCUACCCUGCAGACAGCCUUUCAUUUGCUGUGUAGAAAGGAGGGCAGAUCAACCUACUGCAAUUGCAACAAGUACCAACAUUUUUUUUCUAUUUUUCCUGAUUUUUUUUUUUCUUUCCUUCAGCCUGCUUUCAGUUUGCAUAUUCAAAAAGUUGCAUUUCUGUUUGUAUAAUCUCUCUUCUUACUGUCAACUGUUCUUUCUUUCCUCUUCUGCAUGUCUGCUCUGUCUUGGUUGCAUUAAGAUGUCCUGUUGCUUUCAGUGACAAUACAAAUCAAAUCAAUACAGAAACCAAGCAAACACCACACCUUUACAGAUGUAAGAUAUGUGCAGUAAAUGCCAGCUUUACAUUUAUGUACAUUCAGUAAUCAUCUAUUUUGGCUUAUACAAUGCUUGCACAAAAAGGUUUGUGUUUUGCAAGUGAUACCUAUCUCAUAUGUAUUUUGAUUCUGAUUAAGUAACUAGAUGACAUUGGGUGUGUCACUAGAAUUUCAAAAAUAUGUUUGGGAGAGGAGAAGAAAUACUAGAAUAUCAGCUUCUCUAGCAUACUUACAAAGUCCUGAGAGCAAGAAUGGCUUUUGUUGCCAUACUUGUCAAUAAUACAGAUACCUAUAUCAUUUCUGGGAGCUGUCUAGACACAUGAUAGGGGUGCAAACCUCUACAUUAGUAUUUCAUAGAGCGUUAAAGCAGUAAGUGAAGAAGAGCAAGGGACUGCAUAUAUAUUUUUUCCUUACAGCAUCCAUUCUGCCACUGAAAUAGAGGGUACUGGGUGAGAGGGACCUAUGGUCUGACCCAGUAUGGUACUUAUUAUGUUCUUAUGACAUCAGCAUACAUUACCUGCUCCAGAUUAGAGGGUUUAUAUAGAAGACCUGGUCAACAAAACUUAAUCAGCAAGACCUGUACUUUUUCUACUAGACAAUGGGAAGAAAUUAGUCACAAUAUAAAAAUAAGCAUUUUACUUCUGCAAUUAUGUUUUCACCUUGGUGACACUGUGAAGUGAAAAUAGAGGAUUUAACACAAUUCCUCCUGUAAUAGAUGGGACAUUUUUAAUGUGGGGCCUUAGUUCAAUAGUAUGCAUCCUAACCAUUCACCAGAGUGUGAGUUUAUUGAUCAUCAGCUCUGCUUCAGGAGUUAAUUAUAGUGUGGUAUACAGUAUCUUGAGUACUUCAGUAAUGAGAUUGAUCAACAGGUUGUGUGUAUAUAUUUUAAAUAACAUUCAUUAUAAAACAACCUAUGAUGCAUUUGUAAAUGAAUAAAAACAGGGACAUAUUGUGAUGAACACACAUGCUUCCAGCAAUGCUUACUUCUCAGUGAAUAAGAGGGAUCCAAAGGAGCUGGUUGUGUAAAGUGGGACUUGAGUCUAGAAUUGUGUUACUGGAAAACCCCACUCAACUGUUGCCCUACUUUAGGGGGUAUCUAAACCGCACAAGUGGCACAGUUUGUGACCUUGAAAUUCCCUAGACAACUUCAGUUCUUCUACAUGUGCAGCAACACCUAAUUUUCAACAGUGCAGAGCAGGUCAGCACCUAGAUCACACCUCAGCCCAUGCAGAGCCAUGCAAACAGGUGUUCCUCUGCUUAAGUCCUUUGGGGGCGGGGGGAAGAGGGGUCUUGUUCCAGUGGCCAUUCUCAGAGCACACCUAUAAAAUACUGUUAUGACUAGACUUUCACAAAAUGCAGUAGUGGCUACUACUUAAUUUAAGAUGUGAUAGUGCCUGCUCUCCAGGUUUGUUUUGUUUUAUCCAAUGACUACUAAAUGCAAAACGCAUAAAUCCCCCGGGACCAAACAGUGGCACCCAGGACAGGUGCCCUGUUAGGUUAGUGCCAUAACCACUAGGCUACAGAGUCGGCCCCCCACACACCUUUUUUUUUUUUUUUUUUUUUUUAUUUCUUAGCCAAUUCAUCUUUUUUUUCUGUAGCAGUUUGAUCAGGAAACAGCUUUGCCAAAAUAGCCUAUAGUCUGGUAGUUUAAAGCACUCUCUUAGGAAGUAGGAGCUGUGAAUUUGGUUUCUUAGGAAGAAAGGAAAACUGAACCUGGAUCUCUCACCUGGAUGAGUGCUCUAUCUACUAAACUCUUAGGUAAAGUGGUAAGAGGUGGCAUCUCCUCCCUAUGCUGUGUUUUAAAAGAAAAAACAAUCAAGCUCUGCUUUAUUCUUUGAAUGAAAGGUCACAGGUACUGGUCCCCAGGAAAGUGUUAAGGCUGUGGUUCCUGGGUAGAUUAAAGUAUCUCCCAGCAGCCCAAAGAUACCUAAGCUCUGUAAGAGGGUUGUGCUUUGGACUUCAUUGUUCCCUAUUGGCUAGUUCUGGGCAGCUGCGUGCUAAAAGUGGCUCCCUGCUCACUGCUUGCUGUCUUGGAUUGCCCCUCUGAGGCACUUAACUCUCCCCCUGUGCUGCAUGGGGAGCCUAAGCACAAAAUAGAAAUGUCUGGUUUCAUAGGAAUUAGGCACUACAGUAUCUAAGUUUUAGGUUCAUGAGUCCUUUAUUGGUUCUGGCCCUCAAUCUUGACAGUCAUAUUAUGUUUAUUCAUAACACUCACUAAAUGAAAACUAAAUCUGCUAUGAAUGUCUUGUUCUCUGAAGAAUAUGUGAAACUUCGUAUCAUUCAUAUUAAGCUUGUCUAAGUCAAGUUUAAGCCAUUCAUCUCUUUCCCUCUUUCUGUUGCCAAAGAUGGGGGUCAUGAAUCUUUUCAAUUGAUCAUUGGUGAGCAGGUGACAUUCCAGAUGUCCAGUGAAAGAGGUGUGCUUGUGUGCAUGUGUCUGACCAUUUUAUGUUUUACCUGGCCAAUGUUUUGGUGUGUGUUCAUCUAUAAAUUUACUGUAUUGGAAUUAACAACUUUCUCAACCUUACCUGUUGUGACUUACCAGCAGGUUUUUUAUUUCUUCCUCAGAAAGUCUCUCAUGUUUUCCUGCUUUAAAAUAAAAGUGUCACAUUAUUCUUUACAAAAUUAACUGUGGUCAAAAGGGAUCUGCACAUGGUGCUCCCAAAUGGUACAAAAUGUGUAUUUGUUUCAUAUAUGACAAUCAAAACAACUGACUUUUCCUUUCAAUGCUUGUAUUAUACUGUAAAUGGUUUACUUUUAUAUUAAAUUUGAAGCAUCUUAAGAGCAGCACCACACAGCACAGUUCAAGAAUAUUCAUUUUAAAUAAUUUAUGAUCUGAUUUCUGUAUUUCAGUGGAUUGCAUAACAAGAUCCUUAUCUUAAUUUGAGUCCAGCUAGAUGGAGUGCCUAAAAAUGUGAUUCAUUGCUACUCUAACCCCAAUGUUAAAGUCAUUUUUCCUGCUAAAAAUUAAUUUUUUUUUGUAAAUUUCCAAAAGAUGAGAAAAGCUUAUACAUAAAAAAAAAAAAUAUUAAGAGCAUAACUAAUUUAGACUGAAUAUGGAUUUACCCUAAUCAGUUCCUAAACCAGGGAUGAGGAGGCUGUUUAAAAUCCACUAAUAUUCUGUAGCAACUCUCAGCACCAUGUUAGAAGGAGCAGGGAAGGUGGGUGGAACUGGUUUAUUAUGGACUUCUCAGGUCUGCAGUGGCCCCUGCUGAUACCACAGGAAAGGAGGGUGUUUUAUCUACAAGGCAGCAAAAGUUGCUAUAGAGCUAUUCCACUUGCAUUCUACCAUCAAGAGUAGGGAAUACUUUAAAUUCCCUGGACUCUCCUCAGUAAACAAGCUGGUUGUUCUGGCUGUGCAUUGGGAUACAGAUUUGAGCCCUAAUUAGCACCUGCAGCCUAAUCAGAAAACUCCGUAUGAUCCUGAGAAAUUUGAACUGUAGACUUUCUGGUUUCUCUGACAGGCAACUACCUACCAUAAACAAGAGGAAUUAGAAUAAGAGUUUAGAACAGACAAACUUGUUCUAAGCUUUACUCAUGGCAGCUGUGGCAUUCUUCAUUUUUGCAGAGAAACCAGGAAGUCUGCAGCUAAAGUUCCCCAGAAACUUAAGAUUUAUCAUAUAGCAAUUCUUAAAACAAUGGAUGUAGAUACACUCCUUUGGGAAUUUCUCAAAAAAAUGUUGGCAAACAUAAUGUUUAAACCACUUCUUGUAGUUCACCUUUAAUGAUUUACAUUCUCUAGUCCUAAAGCCAUAUUUGUUAUAAAUGACCGAACUUAAAUCAAUUGAAUUGGACCUACCUCUGCUAGCAGGGAAUUUGGCUGAACAGAGCAAAACAGAGAUAAAUAUGGAGUGAAAGUGAACUAACUGUUUGGCUCCCUGAUCUGCUGGAGCUGUCCAGGACUUUAUCUCUAGUGCAGACAGACCUUUGUUUUUUAUUACAGCACAAUUUGUAAAGAAGUUUGGAAUUGUAGUCUUUAAUAACAGAUAUAACUGUUACUUUUUCUAACCACCUGAGACAUGCAUUUAAAAGUAUGCAGGUGUUAGAAAAUUCUAAUACACUCCUUUUUUUACUUUGUAUUGUACACAAAUUGUGAAUAUGUAUACAUAUGCAUAUACUUCUGAAAAUCUAGCCCAUGUGGAUCAUCACUGAUGUGAAAGACUCUUUACUCUUUAGGUUUAUAUUGAAUGCCAUUCAUUAUGACAAGAAUCAUAUUAGAGCAAGAUUCAGUACAAGAACAAAGGCCUGGUAGAUGUUAUUUUUCUUGGAAUACUUGUUUUGAAUUUUCCAUCUCUUGCCAUAGGGAUCUAAAUUAUUAUCAGGAUUACCGUGAUCAGAUGCUUCAUCUUUAUAUAGUACUGUUAGUCCCUAUUAUUCAUUAUAAAUGGACCAAUUAUGAAUGGUGGGUUAAAAAAACCCCUCAUUUUAAUUGAGUAAACUUUCUGACAAAGGAAAAUACUAUCAUGGAAUAUUUUAUCUGGUGCAUUUGCAGGGAUCGUAUCACAUGUUAAACUAUCACAAUUAUGAGGCUCUAAAAGCACAAUGCUGGAAAUUCUGUGCUCAAUGAUUGUUUCUCCGACCACAUCAUGCAGAACUUUGUACACCGUAAUGGCAUAUUUACAGUCAUUGGAAGUUCAGCAGAAAUAAGCUUACUCUGUAUGAACUUCUAAUAUAACUUCCAUCUUGAGCACAGCAAACAUAAUUGUCAGUAUUUCUGCAAGAUGUAGGCUCUUGUGCCAGUUCCUUACAAAGAUACUGGCUGUUAUAAUAGUUACAUCAAAGUCAUACUUAAGAAUAGACCAUACAGUGAACCACACAAAGUGAUUAAAACAAUCCAAUUGUUUAACUUUAUCAAAUACUCACUGGUUCUUUAGAUCUAAACAGAAUUAUUUCAUUCUCCAGAAAAGCAUUCAAUAGUGGCUAUUAAUAUGUACAUUUGAUUUGUACCAUUCUGCAGUGGCAUUCAAAGCUUUUACAAUACCACACAAUAAUAUAGAGAGAGAAAUAUCUAAAAUAGCAUUCCAUAUUUUAAAAGCAUUUAUUUUUCUCUGAAACCCAGUGUUUCAGAUUGCAGACUGUGAUGAGAUGUCUGGGAUAACAGUUUAUCCACAGAAAAGGGUAGCAGCAUAAUGAGCUUCUCUAUACUGACCUGCCUUUAGCCAUAUUUCCAGAGAAAUUGAGUCUAAGAUAUUAGAAAUUUCAGCCCCUGUGCCGAUUCAAACCUAGACUACUUUGUUUAGGCUACAAAGAAAAGUAGUUCUUAGGACUACUAACCAAUUCCAUGAAACCCACUAGAUAGCCAAAGUUUUUAGAGUUCACAUAAUUAUGUAUUUGAGCCAACUAAGAACCCUCCUUUAUCAACAGAAGGCAUCAUAACCACAUAGUAGGUAAGUUGAUACCUUGUAGCAAUGUACUUUAAUAACCAAGAGCAAAGUAAUUAAUGUGAAUAUGGCUCUAGGAGAAAUGUUAAACACAGUCAUACCACUGCAUCAUUGUUACCACUGACCUUGUUCAAGAUAUGGUAGGACAGUGUUAGUAUCUGUCGGUGGUAUUCAUACAAGUGGGCAGGGUGUUGCAGAUUAUGACUUUGUAAUAGGGAAUGUCUGUAGAAAACCUCUCCUUUUCAUGCAGAAAAACCACUAAACCAUGCAAAUUAUCUAUGUGAAUUAUCUUUCCUAAGCCAGGUAUUUGUGCAAGUGAGGUUGUUUACAUACCAGGCAAGAAUCCUGGUUCACUAUUGCCUGGAAACAUUCAGGUCACUACAUUCAGAGUCAGGUAAAAAAUACUGCAAUUGAGACUGACGUAAACCAAUCAGAGUGCAUAUGCAAAUGAUGCCUUCUGGUUUGGUUUCUCAGUAGUGUUUAGUCUUUCAUGAAGUCUUACUGAUAGCGUAUGUUAAUCUUUGCUUCUUAUUUGACUCAUAAGAGAUAAAUUACAGCUUUAUCAGAAUUUCCAGCUUCCUGUCCUUUUUACAGUGUUAAAUUAGAAAUACUAUUCUUAAGAUAUUCAUGACAAUAAGAUGUUUCUAAUGAAGGUAUUCAAAGAGCCAAGUCCUGCUUUCAGUUAUACUGAUCUAAGUCUGGCAUAAGUCCAUCAAAGCCAUGUUUCUCUUACAGCGGGGCUGUUCAACUGGCAGCUCCUGCCCAGCCAUCACUUCCCCUAUCGCUUUGGCUGCAGCAGCAGCCCAAGUCUCUGGGCUCCUCCUGCUUCUGGUCCCUGUCCUUGCCUUGGGGGCAGUGUGGUAUGGCCUGUGGAGCUAAGAGUGAGCCCAGUGCCAUGCAGUGGAUCAGGGGGAAGAUGUGCAGCCUGGGGGGUGGGGGCAUGACUCGUACUGGUGAGGCCUGCAGACGUGUGUACCCAUGGGGUGUUCAACCUCCAGCCAUUUAGAAGUUGGACAACUCUGUGUUACAACAUUCUCACUGGAUUCUCACUUACAGAAAGCUUCCUUUACACUGCACAUGGUGUAAAUGGGCCAUAGUGUAAAUGAAAAUCAGGCCACAUCAUUUUUUCUGGUUUUAUAUGGUAUGACUGAGAGCUGUAAUUGGCACUUUGACUAUACUGAGUAUACUAAUAGAUACUUUAUGCCAUAUGUGCAAGAUACUUGGUAAAAGGAGUGAAUGUGCGCCCCUGUGUACUUUCUCUGCCCAUUUUUUCAACAGUUGCCUCCAUCCCAAGGGCAGCAGAACUGGUAGAGAAGAGAGGCUAGAUUUACUUUUUAAGGAAUAACAAGACCUUUAAGGUGUGUUUCUGCAAUAUAAAGAUAAAAUUGGCCUGUUUCUCUCUCAUGCUAAGUGUUGAUCUUGUCCUUGUUCAAUAAAUUCUUACAAUCCCUUUGCAUGGAAGUUAACAUAUGUUGUAGUAUGAAUAAAAAUAGAUUAAGAAAAUAGAAAUAGCAGAAUAUAUUGUUUUGCUUUUUUUUUUUAUUUUAACCCCCUGCUGAGUUUGUAAAUUAUCUUUUUCUUUUUCAAGGCUUCUUGCUUUUUAAGCUGGUGGUUUUUCUUUUCCUUUCUUCUUUUUUUCUUUUUUUCUUGGUUUUUUUUUUUUUGCUAAGUUAAGUCACACUGUCCCAAUCGGGAUCUUCCCAUCAUUGCAGUAUUUGCCACCCAUAACCUUGUUUUAUGAUCAAAGGGGAAAUAAAAGGAUAGCAGCAAUGUUAAUAGGCUUUCCCAUGCAGUCUCUCUGGGAAUGGUCUUUUUAUAAGUGUCUUGAACUUGACCUCUUUGGAAGGCACAAAGGUCCAACACACAUUUUAAAAGUUAUAUUUAAAUUUUAAUUUUUUUUAUUCUGUGAAGCCAUUUAAAACCUGGCCCUCAAAACACAAAGCAUAAAUCUUUCAGGAUAGUCAUACAGUAAAAUUGAUGUGUGCAGAGAAGUUCUGGAAAACCCCUAAAGCUCUGUAACUUCACUUUCAUGUCAUUUUAUAGAUAAUUUCUCUGACACACCAACAAAAUAAUCAAAUGAAACCCAAUAUAUAAUAUUGUGAUUUCAUCAUUUUGGCAUUUGAACUUUCAAAUAUAAUUCAGCAAUGUACUAGGUGGUUGGGAGGGGGAAGUUUUCCUUGCCUCACCCUUUUUAUAAAAAUGUUCUUUAGAGCCAAACAUUUGAGGCAUUAGAAAGAUUUACAGUAAUAAUAUUAGUAGCUAUAAUGAACUUGGGAGCAAGGGAGUGUUAUAACAGAUUGUCAGAAUAAGAGUGAGUUUUUGUAAGUGAUUUUACCAACAGAUAAUAAAUAUUUAGGAACAUAGUCUUCUCUCUAUAAAUGUUUAUGCUAACAGUAACGCUUGUAGGAAAUGCAUAUGUUUGAGAUGAGGAUACAGAUAUCUCAAACUUUAUAGCAUGCUUUAUUAAUUUGCUUAGGUGAAUAUAGUUCUCAUUAAGGGUAUGGGCUUGACAGUCCUAGAGGCUUAAGUCCUUUAACAACAGAAAAAUAGGUGCAGAGUAGUUCCACACCAGUGCAGUGUGGAACUACUCAGUAGUUCCACACUGAGUCUAAAAUAACCUUGAAGAGAAUAAUUAAUUCCCUGGGUGUGUUUAGUCCUCCAUUGCUUUUCUGAGACUGGCAACAAAGAGGCCAGAAGUAUAUAUACAUUUUUCAGUGCAGACAGCUGUAGGCUUGAAGUUGAACUGAACAGCAAUUUAAUUCAGUUACUCAGAAUUACUGACCUGGGCAGAGCUGGAGCUACUGAACUAUAAAGAUGCGGAGCCCUGAAGUCCAUCAUUGAUGGACUAGUUGUCUGACAUGCAUUAUACCAACUACAAUGUUACACUACACUUAGGAAAACAAAUACAGUGAUAGAAAAUAUCUCUGUGUUCUACUAUGUAAUGUCCUAAAUGCUGUUCCUAAACCAUGCCAGAAUUUGCCUUGCCAGAGCUGGAGGGUGAGAGCAGACCACAUGAAAUGGCCUUGUCCGCUUCUGCUCUAGUCCCUAGAGUUCCUCUCAACUGCAUCUAGCUUCAGUGCCCACCUUGAAGCAGGGAUUGCUUGAUUGUAGCAUGGCUUCCCUUUCCUGACAUAGAGCUAGGGCUCCCCUGUGCCAGGGGAGCUGAGAAAGCUAAACUAAAAAAAGUUUAUCUUAAAAUGGUUUUGGCCAUUUUGAAACUGGUUUAUGUGCACGGAACUUCUGUUGUGUUACAGAUUUGAGCCGGUUUCCGAUCACUUAUACCAGUUCAUGUGUAAUUUCUGUCCCUAGCCCUAGAGUCUGAUCUAAAUCCUAUUGAAGUUGAUGGAAAAACACUCACUGACUUAAUGAAUAUUGGUUUAGGCUCAUAGGACAACAUUAUGCUCCCUUUGUGCUAAUGGAACAGCACAGAGGACCUACAUUUGGAAUGAGAUAAAGACUCUAGAGUGAAAUGAUCCUAAACAGGCUGCUAGAAAUUGAUGCAAACAGAAUAUGUGCUCAGACACAAAUGGCCAGAAUUUGACCUCAGUUACACCAGUAAAAAUCUUCUGACUCAUGUAAGUAGAACUUAGAGGGCUAGCCCCCAAAUCUGAAACUUAGAUACACAUACAAGCCAGAAGAUUCAGAAAGAAGAGUGGCACUGUAAAGCAACAGCCCCAUGGUUUGCUGGAACACCUUUGGACAAGCAAACGUGGCGGGGCAGCUGACUGAGAAUUUUCAUUCUGCUUAAUCACUACUGUUGGUAACUAAGCUUAGAGCCUAGCUAGACUUCAUUAUGUUCAUUAUAAUUUAAUCUAGCUGUAUUUAGAUUCUAUAUAAUACUGGUGUUUUUCUUUCUUUUUUUUUUUUUUUUGCUCUAUACCAAAUACAUUCUGUUUUCAUUUUAAAUCGAUGGCUGAGUUAAAAUAGUUUUCAGGUGCCCCACAGAGAUGGAAACUGACUUUUUCUGCACGUAAACCUGCUUUAUAAUUGAGACAGUUACUUUUAACAGAUCAAGAUUUUCCUUUCCAUAUAAUGCUGUAAUACAGCAGUUAGGCUGUUGGAGACCACUGUAAACAGAGAGGGAACUGAUUGGUUUUAAGCUAGGUUACGUUCAUUUUUGUCCAUGUGUCUGCAUAUGGUCACUGAGGAAGAGUACUGUAUUCGCCCUCAAAGACUGAUAUGCAGAUAGCAACUUCAGUUUAAACUGUGAUGCUAAUGAGAGCAAAUCGGUCCAUUCCUGACAUGGUUUAUUAAAAUCUUAAUUUCAGACAUCAAUAGAUGAAGAUCCCAAAAUUUGGAAGGGCAAAAAACUCCCACUAUCAUCAAAGUAUAUAGUAGUUUUGCUUGGGUAAGAAUUGAAGGAUUGGCUCUUUUUAUAGCUUUACUUGCUACCUAUCCAGGACUGUUUUCAUUAUUUUCUGAUCGUUUAUCUUAAUGUUGCCAAAUUAACUUUUUUAUUUGGUAAUUAAUAUAAAGAGCUAAGAGAAAUUUUAACCUACUAUCCAUCCAUCUCAUUUUAGCUGAUUAAAAUCAAACCUCAUUUCUUAAAUGCAGGUGGGGGGGGGAGAGGGUUUGGCAUUGCACAUCUAAACUUGAAGGGGGAGAGAAUAUAAAACAAAUAAGAAUCAGUUUCUUUUCUGGAAGUUUUGAACAAGUUUAAACAAAUCUAAAAUGGUAUUCACAAUAAUUGAUACUAAUUAAAAUGUUGAAAGCUUCAUUGGAGAGAAAUGAAAAGGAAUAUUUUGAGCUUCAUCUUCUGCAAUUUGAGUGUGUGUGUGUGUGCAUGUGUGAAGUUUUUUCAUGUUUGAAGUAAGUGUGGAAGUAUUAUAUACCUUGUGUUAUUUCCCUGAUAAAUGCUAUUGGUAUUUGCCAUUUUAUGGGGUGUGAUUUAAACAGCAGAUGGAGUUAAUACAUUUAUAAAAGAUAAUACAGAAUGGUUAGAAAUUAUGAAAAAAUGCCAGUGUGCACAGAUUCAAGAGCAGUAUUUCCUGUUUGUGCCUUACCUGGUAAUUUUUUUCUACAUAAACCUGAUUCAUAAUGGAGCCAGUUAAAUUUAACAAGUCAAGGUUCCCAGAAUGCUACAAGUAUUUCUACUUGACUAUAUUAUCACUGUUAUCAGUGCCAAAUAUACAAUCUGUGUCUAAACAGCAUUUGCUACCAGAUCUAUGUUAAAGGUGCUAAAAGAAAAAAGCAGGACAUGGGAGUGGAAUGAAGGAUUGGGAUGUGCAAAGGCUGGGAAGCAUGGAGACUGCAUAUGAUUAAUACAUAACCAGAGUUAGUCUUUUGUAAGAAAACAAGGAGGAGCCAUAUUCCCAUUUGAGGUGCUAGCCUCAACUCACCUGCACAGGUAAGAGCACACAUUGCAGCCAUUAAAUGGUUUCAUCUUUGUACUAUUACUAAGCUUGGUUUAAGGUCUUGGUAGGACCAGGGGCAGACUUGGGGACCUGGGUUGCUAAGUACAAUGUAGAGGGGCCCCCUGGCUUACUCCCACCCUCAUGGUUAGGCAGUAGCAGAGACAUGCCUUGUAUAUAGGUAGGAUCAAUGACACUGUAGUCUUAUUUCUCUGUCUCCCUUCCUAGAAGUUCACAGGUGAUAUUCCAGGAGAUGCAUGAUGCUUCAUCUGCUUGGUUGGAUGAGCGAAAUUCUAGCAUUAAAGUAGCAUUGAAACAGGCUGUCUAGAGAAGUUGUGGAAUCUCCUUCCUGGAAAUUUUCAGGAGCAGGUUAGAUAGAGACUUGACUAGAAUGCUUUAGUCAGGGAUGAUCCUGCCUUCAUCAGGACAGACUAGAUGACCCUUCUAGCCCUACUUUCCUAUGAUCCUACUCAGUUGUGGGAGAGUCAUCCACCCCACAGCACAGUGGGCCAUGAAGUUGAUGUUAUCAUUAUGCAUUAUAUUGUAGCAAGAUUUUUUAAGUCCUAAAGCGAAUGGGAUCAGCAGUGUGGAGGAGGAAUGAAUUUGUUUAUCUAUUUGUCUUUUCACAGAAGUAGAGCACAAGAAUUCAUCAGGAAACACCUAGAAAUAUCCGGAGGGAUUGAAAGGAGCUAUGAAGGAUCCUGGGUUCCAAUCCUGUGUCCGUCUUCCUGACUGUCAACUUCUGUUGAUUGAGAUGAAAGCACAGCUAUCCUUUUUCAAGUAUGGUUUUCAGCCAGAACCACUGAAAGAGAAUGGAAAAUAUAAUGGAUCAUGUUGCACUGUUCUGCACAAAAACACUUGUAUCAGUUAUUAAGUUCCACUAUACCUGUUGCUUUAAUAAAUCUUAACUACUUUUUUUCCCUAUCCAAACACUUUAUACAUAAGUCUAUCAGCCCAAAGACUAGUUUCAGUUGCAUAGACCUUGAAUCUAGAGUAGUGCAGUGAAGUUGAUGAAGCUGCUAUGAAUGGUAAGCCACUUAACUGAAAGAAGAAUUAGCUUUGUUCAGUGCUUGGUGGUGAUUAUUUACUAAAGGGUGGUGAUUAUUUACUGAAAUGUAUUUCUUAUGAUAGAAUGUACAUGGCUCCUUUUUAUUUCUGAUUGCUCCUAAAGUUUCACCUCUGAUACUGAGGCAUAUUGGAGAGUAAAGAUAAGUCUCCUUGUGCAUAAGGCAUAAAUGAAAUAAAUUUAAAUGUGUCACUGUGCUCUUACAGCCCCAACAAAAAGUCCCUUAAGGUUCAGUUUUCUCAAGUCUGUGAACUUUACACAAGACUCAAGGUGCUGACAUCCUUGUAUGAUUCAUAAAGAUAUAUUCUGUUUACACAUGAACGUAAGCCUCCAUAAGUUGAGUUUAGAAAUGGUUUGAAUGUGGGGCAGAAAUUAGAUGUAAUAAUGAAAAGCAUUUGAUUUUCCCAGAAAAUGUUUUAGUUACAAGGUCAGCAUCUGAAACUGAUGUACACAUUCUUCUUACUAUAAAUGCUGUUACAGGGUUCCUAAUCCAGAGCUCUCAUUAGGGGGUUUGUAACUCAGCUAUAAAAAACAGUAUAUUAGUAGCAAACAUCUCAGUUUAGAUGGCUUUUUUAUCAUAAACUAAAUUUUAGAAAAAGGAGAGGAUUUUAUUCAAAGGCAUAACAGUCAGGGUGGCAGUAGUAGCAGUGGCAAGGCCAGGUCAGACCAACAGCAAUAGCAGUUGCCACCAUUUUUGCACCCCUUCUAUAUGACCCAACCUUAGUUACAGUACUAGAUUUUUGCCAUUUAAAAAAUGUAAGAAUUGAUACAAUAGGUCUUCACAAGUAAAACUCUGAAGUCAUUGGAUGUUUCCCCUACCCAUAGAACUACAUUGUAUAGGUGCAGAAAUAAAGAUCAUCAAGUUGGGAAACUCUGAUUAUAUUAUAAAUUUAAAAAUAGAUGGUUAAAAUAGAUUUGUGAGGAGGAAGUGACUUACUUCUAAUUGGUUAAUUUGUAAAUAUAGAUUUAAAUCUAUUUGUACAACUAAAGAAAGGGGCUAUUCUCAUAAAUAUCAUCACACUGGAUAUUUCUCCUUUUAAACUAUUCCAUUGUGUAUUAAAACUUGUAAACUGAGUAGUGUCCAUUGAUUUGAUAUCAAAUCUCAUGACUAAAACUCUAUAAAUAUCUGAUAAUGUAGGUAUUUGCUCUUUUGUAAAUCAGUCUUUUCAGUGAGACGUGAGAGAGGAAUUCACUGUCUCCUCCAUAUGGAACAACAAGGAUAUGUGAGAAUAAGUUUUUCUUUCUUUCAGGAGGUUCUGAAGCCCCCUGCCUUUAUCAGCUAACUCUCAUUCUGUUGUUUGGUAUCAUUGAUCAUAAUGCUCUCCAAAAUCAAUGGAUCAAAUGUUGCAUCUGUCAGACAAACUUCAUGGGAGUAGUUCCUGUUGACGUGAAAGGGCAGGAUCUUCAAACAUAUGCAAAAUUAGCUACAUCAGACUGGGAACCCUGAGCAUCUACCUCCCAUAUGCUCACUUUUCAUGUUAGGGAGACAAUAACGAGCAUAGGUCUAUAGUGAUAAGCAAGAUCACACUACCUAGCUCAGCAUAUGGUCACACUGCUUCUCUCAGUACCCUGAUUAAACCCGGAAAUGAUGCACAAAUGAUCUUUUGCAGGAGGUAGUUGAGGGCUGAUCUUGCACUCUUUGCAUUUCACUGGCAAUUACUGGGACCUAAAAUAAUUUGGUUAUAGUCAACAUUUUAAAACUUGGAUGGCAAAUAUUAUACACUCAAAAAAUAGGAAAAUGUAUACUUUAUUUGAAGUGCUGUCACAGUUCUUAAGGCAAAUGAGAAUUAUUAGUGCUCAACACCUCUGGAAAUCAGGACAUGUCUUUUGAUAGGGCUAUCUUUGUACAUUUCAAAGUGUUGCCCUUUGUGCUUUAUUUACAGAGCCCUAAUGCAAAGAGCCAUUUAUCUCCAGCAAAUGUGGCUGAUUACUUCAAUCUCCAUAGCUCUGAAUGAUAAUUCUAACACAAUCAGUGUUUCUGCUGUGACCUGUACAUUGGCUAUGUCCUACAGACUCAGUAGUUCUUAUCAGUUUGACUGCUAAUACUAGCCAUUGCUAGCCAACUACCCAGUAAGCCCAAUAAGUGGUGGGCAUUGUAUUAAAGUGCAUAUGGCCUGAUCAAAAGGAAUAGCCUAAACCACUUACCUUCUCUUCUUGUAUUUUUAAACUUUUUAAUGCUUUUGGUCAAAUAAUCUUUACAUUAUAGUUGCCUCUGACCUCAAUGGAGAAUCAGAACUUCAUUGCUGUCAUUUUUAAAAAAGAAAAAUUAAUGAAAAAAGAGAAGUGUUGUUCCAGAGAUUUACAGUGUAAGUUCAGGACAGGAUGCAACGGGUGGAUGAGAAAAAGAAAUAGGCAGCGAGUAAGAGGAGUAAAGGUUUUUUUGCAUACUCCCCACCUGCCUACUCAUUAUCAGAUGGUCAUGUUCUGGACAUUUCCAGGAAAGAUUAUAUGACUAAGUGAGUCUUGAUCCUGCAAACACUUGAAAAAAGCCACAUACGUGUUUAUACAUUUGCAGGACCUAAAUACCCUAUAUUAUACUGCAGCAUCACAUCCGAUUCCAUUUUUAUUACCUUCUCACCUCAUGUUAUAAUAACAAAAUGACAGUCAAGCACUUCUGCUAUUAUAUUUACAGUAAUUUUGAAUGAUUAUAUGGGAACUUAUACAGGAAAGCAUGGCUUACUUUGAACCUCCUACCCUUUCCUCAUCUAUGGCUUACAAUAAGUAGGCACAGUUAUCAAACUCUUGUCAGGACUUGUAACUUGUCUGCAAUAACAAGGUUAACCAGCAACAGCAGUCCAUGCUUUGUGGUUGCAUGCCAGUAAAGUACUGACAAAUUGAAAACUGUAAUGAGAAUAAACACAUUCUGAAUAUUCUCAGCACACUGACACUUUUACAUUAGGAACUGCAGUCAUGUUAAGUAGUCUUGUCUUACCCUACCCAUCACUCUUGAAAUAGGGGACCAUUUUAAACCUGUCACAUGAUCUACAACAAUAGUAAUAAAUGUGUCUCUUGGGCCAUAAUCCUGAGGUCCACAGGACACGAUUUGGUAUGCUUUUUUCCUGUUUGGUGUGUUCCCACUUACCCCCAGUAAAUAAGAGUGAAAGUUAAUAAGAAGAGUGGUUUUAUAAAUGAAAACAUAAAUUGUCAUGGCAUUGGAUAUUGUUUUAAUUUUAGGCCAUCAUAACCUUCCUACAACAGUGGGUCUGCUGGUUUUGUUCUUUUAAAUAAUACUGUUUGACCACUGUUUGUGUUAACAUUUAUUACAUAGCAAUACUAAAAUAAAAUAUUUGCUUACAA